CUGGCUAAGUGGUGAAGUGGGGACGAAGAAGGUUAGGUGAGCUGGGUGAUGGUUAUCCCAGUACAAGCAGGUAGGCGGAACGACAUGGCAAAUCCGGUUGUUCAUUAACGCUGAGCUGUGAUGUGGAUUUAGACGAGUCUAAAGGAGUCAUUGAUACCAAGCUUCCAGGAAAAGCUGCUAGCCAUAACUUAGACUUAACCGUACUGGAAACCGACACAGGUGGACGAGUAGAGCAUACUAAAGCGCGUGAGAGAACUCGGGUGAAGGAACUAGGCAAAAUGGUACCGUAACUUCGGGAGAAGGUACGCCCUUUUUGGUGAAGGAUGCACAUCUGGAGCUGAAGAGGGCCGCAGAGACCAGGUGGCUGCGACUGUUUAUUAAAAACACAGCACUCUGCAAAUUCGAAAGAAGACGUAUAGGGUGUGACGCCUGCCCGGUGCCGGAAGGUUAAUUGAUGGUGUAAUCGUAAGAGAAGCGCUUGAUCGAAGCCCCGGUAAACGGCGGCCGUAACAAUAACGGUCCUAAGGUAGCGAAAUUCCUUGUCGGGUAAGUUCCGACCUGCACGAAUGGCGUAACGAUGGCCACACUGUCUCCACCCGAGACUCAGUGAAAUUGAAAUUGCUGUGAAGAUGCAGUAUACCCGCGGCUAGACGGAAAGACCCCGUGAACCUUUACUAUAGUUUUGCACUGGACUUUGAUAAUGACUGUGUAGGAUAGGUGGGAGGCUAAGAAGCUUAGACGCUAGUUUAAGUGGAGCCGCUGUUGAAAUACCACCCUGUCAUGAUUGGAGUUCUAACUUAAGCCAGUGAAUCCUGGUUGAGGACAGUGUAUGAUGGGUAGUUUUACUGGGGCGGUCUCCUCCCAAAGAGUAACGGAGGAGCACAAAGGUACCCUCGGUACGGUCGGACAUCGUACCAAGAGUGUAAAGGCAAAAGGGUGCUUGACUGCGAAACUGACAAGUUGAGCAGGUACGAAAGUAGGUCUUAGUGAUCCGGUGGUUCUGAAUGGAAGGGCCAUCGCUCAACGGAUAAAAGGUACUCCGGGGAUAACAGGCUGAUACCGCCCAAGAGUUCAUAUCGACGGCGGUGUUUGGCACCUCGAUGUCGGCUCAUCACAUCCUGGGGCUGAAGCAGGUCCCAAGGGUAUGGCUGUUCGCCAUUUAAAGUGGUACGCGAGCUGGGUUUAGAACGUCGUGAGACAGUUCGGUCCCUAUCUGCCGUGGGCGUAGGAAAAUUGAGAGGAGCUGCUCCUAGUACGAGAGGACCGGAGUGGACGAACCGCUGGUGGACCGGUUGUAACGCCAGUUGCAUAGCCGGGUAGCUAAGUUCGGACGGGAUAACCGCUGAAAGCAUCUAAGCGGGAAGCCUCCCUCGAGAUGAGUUUUCCCAAGUAGGCCCGUUGAAGACGACGACGUUGAUAGGCGAGGUGUGGAAGCGCAGUAACGCGUGGAGCUAACUCGUACUAAUUGGCCGAAUGUCUUGACC
rnacentral:rRNA from 1 species